AUGCUGGGUGGGUCGUGUGCCCACCCUGAGCUCCUUCCCUUGCUGCUAAAGAUGGGAGUGAUGCUUCCUGUCUCCCCGUCAUGCAGGCAUUUUGAGGUUGCACGUGACAGCAGCCACCCGGCUCCAGGUCAGUGGCGGCGUGGAAGAACUCCAGCUCCAACACCAGGUCAGUGGCGGUGUGGAAGAACUCCAGCUCCAGCUCCAGGUCCGUGGCGGCGUGGAAGACCUCCAGCUCCAACACCAGGUCCGUGGCGGCGUGGAGGAACUCCAGCUCCAACACCAGGUCGGUGGCGGCGUGGAAGACCUCCAGCUCCAACACCAGGUCAGUGGCGGCGUGGAAGACCUCCAGCUCCAAGCUGCACACACCUCGCUUGAGAUGCUGUUGCCCUGAACCCACCGUGCCAGGUGGAGUCUGUCCGCCCCCAGCCCUUGCCCUGGGGCCCUGAGUGCUGGUGGCUCUCUGAGGUCACAGCCGGAUGGGGCCUGGGCUCCUGACUCACGGGGGUUGGGAAACGGCCUCGGGUGUGCCGAUCCGUGAACUUCUUUCUGUCGUGGAUGUGAGAUUCAUGAGUGAGAUGCCCCCAGCCCUGCUCCAGGGCAGCCUUGCCAGUUUCUGGAAUGUUCUCCUUUCCAGGCUGCAGCUUCCUUCUGCCCACGAGUGACUUCCCCGUCUGGGUGUCAUUUCCGCUCAAUUCUGUACUUAACUUCAAAAGGUGCAUAAAAUCCUAAAAUGGGACAUUUCUCAGCUGGCCUCCUCCACCUGCGGCUCCUCUCACGUGGAAGCAGGUGGAGGCCUCACGGUGCUCUAGAGUUUGUAGGGGGCAGAGGGCAGCAUACUUGCCACAGACAUCCUGUUACAGGGACCAUGGGAUUAAGAGCUUGAAGUUUAAUUUAAGUCACAAUGAAAACAAGUACGGCCUGGUGUGGUGGCUCAUGCCUGUAAUCUCAGCACUUUGGGAGGCAGAGGCAGGCAGAUCACGAGGUCAAGAGAUCGAGACCAUCCUGGCCAACAUGAUGAAACCCCGUCUCUACUAAAAAUACAAAACUUAGCUGGGCGUGGUGACAUGCACCUGUAGUCCCAGCUACUCGGGAGGCUGAGGCAGGAGAAUCGCCUGAACCCGGGAGGCAGAGGUUGUAGUGAGCUGAGAUCACGCCACUGUACUCCAGCCUGGGAGACAGAGCGAGACUCCAUCUGAAAAAAAACAAAAAACAAAACAAACAAAAAAACAAUUACAAACCCCGGUUCAGCACGCUCCCAGGAGACUGUCUGACUUGGGGCUCUGGAGCUUCUGAGGCCCACAGGGUGGGUGGUGGACCAGGCCAAGCUCCCCCUUCUGGGUCCCUCUCGGGCAGGCGGUGGUGACCUGGCCCCAGGCAGACACUGGCAGCUUGGAGGAGGGUGGGACCUGCAGACCUCAGGGUUGCUGGACAGUCCUGAGAUGGGCCCUGCUUUUGACCAAGGCACCUGAAGAGUGAAACAUGCUCUGUGCGUAGAGGAACAGGACGGGGAGAGCGUGGCAGGCCCUUCUCCAGUUCAGAGCUAGCCCCUCCAGAUCCAGAGCAAGCUUGGGAGGGGAGGACUCGAUGUCCCAGGAUUUGUAACUUGGACUUCGGCGUUGGGGAAUACGGGUGAUGUUCACCUGCUGUGGAAGAAGCAGGAGGAUUAGGAGUGGCAGUGGCAGGGCCCUGAGUCAAGCCUGAAUACAUCGGAUGUAGAGGCUUUGGGCAACUUGGGUGGAAAUGGUGCAGACAGACGCUGGGGUGCCGAGAUCAGCACCCCACUCAGCCUCCUACACCUCCAUGACUAAUCAAAAGGUUCACUUCUCCCGAUCUUCCGGAAGAAGCCCUGGCCCCUGGGAGGCUCCUGGCAUGGACCCAGCUAUGGGACUCACCUUGUGGCAGGCACAAGGGCUGUGUCCCAGCAGGCAGGACCCUAGUUCAACUCCUUCCGAGUCACAGGGGGCCUGGGCUGGCCGGAUCGGGGGCUUCUCCUCCCCACGCCUGCCCUCCUCAACAGCCCGCUGCCCCACGGCCUUUCCCUGCUCCUGAGCGGACGCCACGCCCUCUCCAGGGUGGUUCUGCCUGGACGGUGACUUCUAAUGUCAGACAGAAAAGGCGGCCUGCAGCGAGGACGGGGCCCACAGCCCUGACAUUCUGCCCACCCGGCUUCCUCGAAGGCCUCCUCCUGGCUUCCUGGGUGAGGCUUGCCGAGGGGCAACAGUGACACAGAGGCCAUUCUUUGGGGACUGCUGCUUGGGGGCCUUGCUCCUGGGUGUGGGUGGGAGGCAGUGACCUCACAGACAGGACGCUUUCUUUGGGAUCCUGGGAGAGUCUCACUGUGGGCGCAGGACCACUGUCAUCGCUCGGUCUGCAGCUCAGAGACCUCCAGGGACAGCCCUUGUCUCCAGGCUAAAGUGCCACCUCCGUGUAUGACAUCCCUGCCCGUCCUUGCUGGGUUUUAGUCUAUGCAAAUUCUGUCCCCUCCCCUUGGUUGCCCCAUAUAAGUGAGACCUUCACACCCAUCCCCACAGGCCAGCAUGGAGCCCCCUCCGCCUGCCAGCCUUCCUGGGCUCAGGGUCUCUGCACUCUGGGGGGCUCCGUCCCAGUCCUCACACAGGGCCAGGCUCAGGCUCGGACCCAUCUCCUCCUUGAAGCCUUCCUGGAGCCGCAGCCAGGCCCGGCGUGUGCAGACUGAGCGGCAAGGGCCAGAUCUUUGGGGUACAGGGUGUCCCAUCGAGGUUGCCGUGUCACAAACAAGGGAACCAAGACCCGUGGAGUUUCCUGAUGGCCUGAAGUCUGGCCCUCCCCUACAGUCCUGCCUGCCUCACAGGCCUGCGGGUCAUGGUGCCCCUGCUGGACAGUAACCAGGCGGAGGCCGCUGCUGCGGGCGAGGCCCCAGGGUUGGAGAGCUGGGUCCCGCAGGCUCCAGGACCAGGGCACAGACCCCAUCAGUAAGGUCCAGUGUCCUCUCUGAUUUCACCGCCCACCCAGGGCCUCUAUCCCGUGGCUCCCACUAUCAGGCAGGCCGAGGGGAUGCAUUUCCUGUGCUCUCCUGCCAGACAGAGAAUUGCCUGGAUUAUGAAUAUCAGCUCGGAGGUGACAGGUGACAGACGUCACCAACCUUCAGCUCCAGACUGAAAUAACAUGGUAUUGACCUUGCUCAGAAAGGCUACCAAAAUAGAAAGUUCAAUACUCUCUAUUUUAACUGACAGUUAAAAAUUCAAUACAUCUUCCUCCUGCCAGACACCUGUAUGCGAUCAAGCUAAAUAAAUGCCCUCGGGUUUCUUGCAGGAGGCGUCGCUGUUUAUGUGUAAAGUUAUUGGCCCUGGCUGGGAGGGACUGAUUUUCCACACUCUAGAGAAUGGCCCUUUUGAAAUGUAAACAAUGCCUCUACAAUCCCAGGCUAUUUUGACAAAAGCGAGAAGUGAAGCAGAGGUGGGAGAUAAAGGCACACUCCGUCUCUCCUCGGACCCAACACGGACUCCACAGACAUUGUUCCGUCACGGAAAUCAAUACCAAAAAAUAAAGGUCAAAUACCUGUGCGUGUGUGGAUGUGUGCGUGUGUGUGUGUGUGCUAUAGAUACACAACGUGAGUAUCCAGAGGAGAUCAGCCAUGGGAGGUACAACUGUCACACCACGAAAAGACGCAAAGAAAACUGGAAUAGUAUAAAAAAUAAAUACAUAACAGGAAAAAUGAGAAAUAAUAUUAAGAACAAGAAAUAAAGAGUAUCAAUAAGACAAAAACUUGAGUCAUCAACAAAGAAGUGGAUAGUUUUUUUUCUGUUAAGAAAUAUAGACCCCUUAAGAAACAGAGGAAGACUCACCUCUGACCAUACGCGUCACAUCCCAUCUAUGAAAGAAGCAAUUUCAAUUAAGUUAUUUACAACCAAUGCAAACAAAAGGGUACAUCCAAAAAAUAGAAAGAAUGCAUACAAAUAAACAAUAAAGAAAUAAUCCCACGGAAAAGGAGGCUCAGACCAUAAACGCUCAGUCCCUGGAGGAGACUCCCGACCUCGGGUCUCCUCCCGCCUCCACUUCCAGCUGCUGGGAAGCUGCCAGAGUGCAGGUUGUUCUCCGAAACUCAUUCAGGAAGAAUCUGUUCCCUGGGCUUCUCGAAGUGAACCAGCCACCUCUGAGCCACCCGAGAGUGGGUCAGAGCUCAGCAGGCCCAGGAGCUGAGGACGCCGCUAAUGCCUCGGGCCCGUGGCAGC
rnacentral:lncRNA from 1 species